GAUGAACGCUGGCGGCGUGCCUAAUACAUGCAAGUCGAGCGAACGGACGAGAAGCUUGCUUCUCUGAUGUUAGCGGCGGACGGGUGAGUAACACGUGGAUAACCUACCUAUAAGACUGGGAUAACUUCGGGAAACCGGAGCUAAUAGCGGAUAAUAUUUUGAACCGCAUGGUUCAAAAGUGAAAGACGGUCUUGCUGUCACUUAUAGAUGGAUCCGCGCUGCAUUAGCUAGUUGGUAAGGUAACGGCUUACCAAGGCAACUAUGCAUAGCCGACCUGAGAGGCUGAUCGGCCACACUGGAACUGAGACACGGUCCAGACUCCUACGGGAGGCAGCAGUAGGGAAUCUUACGCAAUGGGCGAAAGCCUGACGGAGCAACGCCGCGCGAGUGAUGAAGGUCUUCGGAUCGUAAAGCUCUGUUAUUAGUGAAGAACAUAUGUGUAAGGAACUGUGCACAUCUUGACGGUACCUAAUCAGAAAGCCACGGCUAACUACGUG
rnacentral:rRNA from 1 species